rnacentral:rRNA from 1 species
AGUAGGGAAUCUUCCGCAAUGGACGAAAGUCUGACGGAGCAACGCCGCGUGAACGAAGAAGGCCUUCGGGUCGUAAAGUUCUGUUGUUAGGGAAGAACAAGUACCAGAGUAACUGCUGGUACCUUGACGGUACCUAACCAGAAAGCCACGGCUAACUACGUGCCAGCAGCCGCGGUAAUACGUAGGUGGCAAGCGUUGUCCGGAAUUAUUGGGCGUAAAGCGCGCGCAGGUGGUUCCUUAAGUCUGAUGUGAAAGCCCACGGCUCAACCGUGGAGGGUCAUUGGAAACUGGGGAACUUGAGUGCAGAAGAGGAAAGUGGAAUUCCAAGU